rnacentral:rRNA from 1 species
GAGUUUGAUCCUGGCUCAGAAUGAACGCUGGCGGCAUGCCUAACACAUGCAAGUCGAACGAAGGCUUCGGCCUUAGUGGCGCACGGGUGCGUAACGCGUGGGAAUCUGCCCUUGGGUUCGGAAUAACAGUUAGAAAUGACUGCUAAUACCGGACGAUGUCGUAAGACCAAAGAUUUAUCGCCCAAGGAUGAGCCCGCGUAGGAUUAGCUAGUUGGUGGGGUAAAGGCCCACCAAGGCAACGAUCCUUAGCUGGUCUGAGAGGAUGAUCAGCCACACUGGGACUGAGACACGGCCCAGACUCCUACGGGAGGCAGCAGUGGGGAAUAUUGGACAAUGGGCGAAAGCCUGAUCCAGCAAUGCCGCGUGAGUGAUGAAGGCCUUAGGGUUGUAAAGCUCUUUUACCCGGGAUGAUAAUGACAGUACCGGGAGAAUAAGCUCCGGCUAACUUCGUGCCAGCAGCCGCGGU